GUGGUUGAUUGAUAUACGAAGACAAAACGAAAAAAGAGUUAGUAAAAGGCCUAACUUGUAGGCAGGAAGAGUGGUGGAAGUAUGAUGGUGAAAGAGCAAAGUGACAUUUAUGUUCUUGUGUUCUUUAUUUUUGAGACAUAAUCUUCCAUUUCUUCACUUCAAUGUUUCUCUUCUCUGCUUUCGGUCAUUGCUAUGCCCCAUUUGUUCUUACCUU